rnacentral:rRNA from 1 species
GUGUGAGAGGAAAAUUCUCCUAAGGCUAAAUAACGGCGAGAGACCGAUAGCGAACAAGUACCGUGAGGGAAGAUGAAAAGAACUUUGAAAAGAGAGUUAAAUAGUACGUGAAAUUGUUGAAAGGGAAACGAUUGAAGCCAGUCGUACCUUCGGGUAAUCAGCCUUUUGGGUGCGAUUCUGUGGAGUGUGAGGAGGUUAACCCCUUCUCGCCUCGGUAUUUUUGGGCUUUGGGUGUGCUUGCCCGUGUGGUUGGUUAACAUCACUUUUUUGGUCCACAAAAUGACUGGAGGAUGGUUCUUUCCAAUUUUUCUCGGUAGUUGGGAAAAAAAAUAACUUACCGAAAAA